AGAUGUGACCACCCAGAGCAAUGUGACUACGAGGUCCAGAAGGUUCUAAAAUUCCACCAAUGGAAAAGUCUCAAAAUGCUUUAACUGUUGGUCCAUCAUUACGACUUCAAGGAUUAAACGAUGUUGGUCUACAUGGAAAGG